rnacentral:rRNA from 1 species
UACGUAGGGUGCGAGCGUUAAUCGGAAUUACUGGGCGUAAAGCGUGCGCAGGCGGUUUGGUAAGACAGGCGUGAAAUCCCCGGGCUCAACCUGGGAACUGCGUUUAUGACUGGCAGGCUAGAGUAUGGCAGAGGGGGGUGGAAUUCCACGUGUAGCAGUGAAAUGCGUAGAGAUGUGGAGGAAUACCGAUGGCGAAGGCAGCCCCCUGGGAUAACACUGACGCUCAUGCACGAAAGCGUGGGGAGCAAACAGGAUUAGAUACCCGGGUAGU